UAGGCUGAGGGUUAAACCACUCCCGUUUUAUCAAACACCCGUGUACACGUGGACCUGGCAGCCAGCCUGCAGCCCGAGGCCUCGGAGUGUUUUCUGCUUUGUCUUGUUGUCACGCUGCGUCUGUGUGUGUGUGUGUGUGUGUGUGCGCGCAGGUGUGUGUGUGUGCGUGUGCAGCGCAGAGACAGCUGAUUGGUUCUCCCACACCAUGACACCCUGAGCUGUGGAAACACCUGAUGAAACUCUGAUGCAAACUGGCUCGGAUGAUCCGGAGGCUCCUCUGGCAGAACUACACAGCAUCCACGACUCAUCGGACCCGUUUGAUGCCGACACGCUUCACAGGCUAACCCGGCGUGGCUCGGCUGUUUUUCACCCCUUUAAUGUUUGUUCUGACUGAAGAUCAUUUUAAUCCGUUUAGUCAUUCGCUUCCAUUCGUUUCCACUCAGCACUGAAAACAACUGGAGACCAAUUCAGUCUGUUUUACAUCAUGUGAGGAGCCGACGGUGGUUUGACAAGUUACAUCAGAGCUUUAACAUCAGGCCGUGAACAUUUCUGAGAGGAGUUCAUCAAACAUCCCAGAAUCAGCCCCAGAAACCUGAAACAGGCCUGGAGUUUUUCACGAAGCGUCCUCCUCACAGAGGGAAACUCCGGCUGACUGAUGCAGAGCCAGAAACACGGAGGCGAGACAGAUGGAGAUGAAUGUUUCAUCUCUCAGAAGCCGGGACAUUUUCCAGCUGCGCUCCAUCAGCAAGGCGAGAGACCUGAUCUGGACGGGACUGAAGCACAGCCAGACCCGAGACAAUCGUGUCCUACGGACAAAUGUGCUUGUGUAUGGAGUUGUCCCAUCGCCCAGGUCCUGUCCUGUCUCAGUCCCCUGAGCUGACGUCCAACAUGUUGUUCCUGCUGAUGAGCUGAUGUGAUGAUGGAGGAUCCAGACUGUUGCUGCUGCAGCUUUAAUAAACACAAGCAGCCGUUUGCCACCUGUGAGCCGCCGGCAGGUCGAUACAGAAUCACCCGGACGUGGAGAAAACCCA